rnacentral:rRNA from 1 species
AUUGAACGCUGGCGGCAGGCCUAACACAUGCAAGUCGAACGAGUGGCGGACGGGUGAGUAAUGUCUGGGAAACUGCCCGAUGGAGGGGGAUAACUACUGGAAACGGUAGCUAAUACCGCAUACCAUCGGAUGUGCCCAGCUGGGAUUAGCUAGUAGGUGGGGUAACGGCUAACCUAGGCGACGAUCCCUAGCUGGUCUGAGAGGAUGACGGGCCACAUGGGAAAUGAGAGACGGCCCAGACUCCAACGGGAGGCAGCAGUGGGGAAUAUUGCACAAUGGGCGAAGGCCUGAUGCAGGAAGGCCGCGUGUAGGAAGAAGGCCUUAGGGUUGUAAAGUACUUUCAGCGAGGAGGCGGUACUCGCAGAAGAAGCACCGGCUAACUACGUGCCAGCAGCCGCGGUAAUAC